rnacentral:lncRNA from 1 species
UUAUGUUGUAUGUUUGCAUAUUAUUGUUAUUUUUAAAUGUAAAAUGAUAAUUUUACAUAUCUUUAAUGUAGUAUUUCCAUUUUUUAUGUUGUAUGUUUACAUAUUAUUUAUUAUUUUCGAAAUUAUAUAUAAUUUUUUUUUUACAAAAUAGUAAUGUUACAUUAUGGAGAUAAGCCGUCUUUUUUUUAAAUGAAAAUGGUAAUCUUACAUAUGUUUAAUGUAGUUUUUUCAUUUUUUAUGUUGUAUGUUUAUAUAUUAUUUUCUUAAAAUAAAAAUGUAAAAUGGUAAUCUUACAUAUGUUUAAUGUAGUAUUUCCAUUUUUAUGUUGUAAGUUUUACAUAUAUUUAUUAUUUUCAAAAUUAUAUAUAAUGUUUUUUGUUUUUUUUAUAAAAUGGUAAUGUUACAUUAUGGAGAUAAACCGUCUUUUUUUUAAGUGAAAAAUAGUAAUCUUACAUAUGUUUAAUGUAGUUUUUACAUUUUUUUAAUGCUGUAUGUUUACAUAUUUUUUAUAAUUUUCGAAAAUAAGUAAUAUUAAAAUGUAAAACUAUAUUUUAAUGUCAUGUGUCAUCUUUCGAGAUUAUAUUAUAUAUUUACUUAUUAUUUAUUUUUCUUUAUAUUGUGUAUUUUUAUUUCUUAUACUUUCUAUUUACUAAUAAUUUUAUAUUUUAAGAUUGAUUUACAUUUUAAGAUAGAUGUUUAAAUACUAAUGUACUUUUUCCAUUUUUUAAAAUUGUGUAUUUCCUUUUCUUAUACUUUCUAUUUGCGUAAUAUCUAUAGUUUACAUUUUAAGAUAUAUGUUUAAAUCUUAAUAUACUUUUUCCAUUGUUUUUAAGUUGUGUAUUUCUUUUUCUUAUAUUUUCUAUUUACUUAAUAUCUAUAUUUUACAUUUUAAGAUAGAUGUUUAAUAUUUAAUAUACUCUUUCCAUUUUUAAAAAAUUGUGCAUUUACUUAUUAUUG